GGAAAGACGAUGAAGGAGAGUAGUACGCUGAUACGUUCUCAUCCAGGGAGAAAAUGCCUUAGACUGUGAGCAUUUUUAUGAAGGAUACAGCUGAAUUCACUCUUGAGUUGACACUGGAGCACAGAAUAGUUUUCUAUUUUGUGAAGGUGAUCCGGCCUUGGAGUCCGUUAUCUUCGUAUGAGUGAAUGAAUACAUUUGUAAUCAUUAACAAGGGUGGUACCGCGAGCUUUCGUCCCUUUC
rnacentral:ncRNA from 1 species